GCUGGCGGCGUGCUUAACACAUGCAAGUCGAGCGGUAAGGCCCUUCGGGGUACACGAGCGGCGAACGGGUGAGUAACACGUGAGCAACCUGCCCCUGACUCUGGGAUAAGCGGUGGAAACGCCGUCUAAUACCGGAUACGACCCGCCACCUCAUGGUGGAGGGUGGAAAGUUUUUCGGUCAGGGAUGGGCUCGCGGCCUAUCAGCUUGUUGGUGGGGUAACGGCCUACCAAGGCGAUUACGGGUAGCCGGCCUGAGAGGGCGACCGGCCACACUGGGACUGAGACACGGCCCAGACUCCUGCGGGAGGCAGCAGUGGGGAAUAUUGCGCAAUGGGCGAAAGCCUGACGCAGCGACGCCGCGUGGGGGAUGACGGCCUUCGGGUUGUAAACCUCUUUUACCACCAACGCAGGCUUCCAGUUCUCUGGAGGUUGACGGUAGGUGGGGAAUAAGGACCGGCUAACUACGUGCCAGCAGCCGCGGUAAUACGUAGGGUCCGAGCGUUGUCCGGAAUUAUUGGGCGUAAAGAGCUCGUAGGCGGCGUGUCGCGUCUGCUGUGAAAGACCGGGGCUUAACUCCGGUUCUGCAGUGGAUACGGGCAUGCUAGAGGUAGGUAGGGGAGACUGGAAUUCCUGGUGUAGCGGUGAAAUGCGCAGAUAUCAGGAGGAACACCGGUGGCGAAGGCGGGUCUCUGGGCCUUACCUGACGCUGAGGAGCGAAAGCAUGGGGAGCGAACAGGAUUAGAUACCCUGGUAGUCCAUGCCGUAAACGUUGGGCGCUAGGUGUGGGGACUUUCCACGGUUUCCGCGCCGUAGCUAACGCAUUAAGCGCCCCGCCUGGGGAGUACGGCCGCAAGGCUAAAACUCAAAGGAAUUGACGGGGGCCCGCACAAGCGGCGGAGCAUGUUGCUUAAUUCGACGCAACGCGAAAAACCUUACCAAGGUUUGACAUCACCCGUGGACUCGCAAAGA
rnacentral:rRNA from 1 species